rnacentral:tRNA from 1 species
GGGAAGGUGGCUCAGUGGUAGAGUACUUGCCUUGCAUGCAUGAGGUCGUGGGUUUGAUUCCUCAGUACCA